rnacentral:rRNA from 1 species
GAUCCUGGCUCAGGAUGAACGCUAGCUACAGGCUUAACACGUGCAAGUCGAGGGGCGAGCAUGGUCUUAGCUUGCUAAGGCCGAUGGCGACCGGCGCACGGGUGAGUAACACGUAUCAAACCUGCCGUCUACGUCUUGGACAGCCUUCUGAAAGGAAGAUUAAUACAAGAUGGCAUCGUGAGUCCGCAUGUUCACAUUGAUUAAAGGUAUUCCGGUAGACGAUGGGGAUGCG